rnacentral:rRNA from 1 species
UUUUUCCGUUAGGGUAACCUGCGGAGGGAUCAUUACACAAAUAUGAAGGCAGGCUGGAACCUCUCGGGGUUACAGCCUUGCUGAAUUAUUCACCCUUGUCUUUUGCGUACUUCUUGUUUCCUUGGUGGGUUCGCCCACCACUAGGACAAACAUAAACCUUUUGUAAUUGCAAUCAGCGUCAGUAACAAAUUAAUAAUUACAACUUUCAACAACGGAUCUCUUGGUUCUGGCAUCGAUGAAGAACGCAGCGAAAUGCGAUAAGUAGUGUGAAUUGCAGAAUUCAGUGAAUCAUCGAAUCUUUGAACGCACAUUGCGCCCUUUGGUAUUCCAAAGGGCAUGCCUGUUCGAGCGUCAUUUGUACCCUCAAGCUUUGCUUGGUGUUGGGCGUCUUGUCUCUAGCUUUGCUGGAGACUCGCCUUAAAGUAAUUGGCAGCCGGCCUACUGGUUUCGGAGCGCAGCACAAGUCGCACUCUCUAUCAGCAAAGGUCUAGCAUCCAUUAAGCCUGUUUGUCAAACUUUGACCUCGGACAAGGUAGGGAUACCCGCUGAACUUAAGCAUAUCAAAAUUUGGGAGGAAA